rnacentral:ncRNA from 1 species
AUGGAUCUGACUUGCCGAUUUCCCUUACCUACAUUGUUCUAACAUACCAGCAGCCCCUUUUGCACACCCUGGUUGGAGCUCCCCCUCCCCUCCUUGCGGGGGAAGGCCAGGGUGCCAGGAGGGUUAAGCCAUCAUCUGCAGCGAGGGGGGGGGAUGGCCGGCAGGCGGCGGGCGGCCUCGACCAGUGUCUAGGUGUCUAGCAGCUGGCUUAGAACUGGUGCAGACCAGUGGAAUUAGACUGCUUAAAACAAAGCAUCGCGAAGGCCCGUGGCGGGUGUUGAUGCAAUGUGAUUUCUGCCCAGUGCUCUGAAUGUCAAAGUGAAGAAAUUCAAUGAAACGCGUAUGGCUAUGUCAUCGGUUCCUAUCAUUAGCACUCUGAUGCGAUCGGAAGAAGCACAAGUAAAACUCCAGAAAUUCUGGAUACAGGUUGGAGGUGAUGUUAGCAAAAUCCGGCAACUAAACGAUCCAACAACCUUAACAGUGCAGUCAGAGGAUGUACUGCUUCCAGUGGAAUGGGAACCCAGUCCCAACCAAAAACCAAAAUUCAUGACUCCAUGCAUGGCGUAAUGACGAAUUUGAUAACUGGACAAAAUUACCUGUUCAAGGAACAGGAAUUAAAAACUUCAAAGAUGACCCUGACAGUAACACCUGGCUUGCGCAUCCCAAAGGUUUCAAAGAAAGACACUAUAUUGCAGCACUUCAACUUCAGGCUAAUGUAUAUCCCACCAGGGAAAGCUUGAACAGAGGACAAAGGGGAUACCCAACACUCUGUCGCAAGUGCCAAGAGAAAACCGAAACAUGCUCACAUAUACUUGGACAAUGCCCUAGCGUUCAAUGUGCUAGAUUAAAAACUCAACAAGAUCUGUGACAUUUUAGCCGAAGAGGCUAAAGAACAGAAUUGGGAAGUCAGAAAAGAACCACAUUUCAGACUCGAAGGAUCAAAUGAACUGAGAAAACGAACCUCAUUUUCACAGAAAACAAAGAUUCAAUCGAUGUAACAAUACAAAAUGAACAGAUCCUACACACACUAAAGGAGGCAGCAAGGGAGAAAGUAGUUUACUAUGAGCCCCUGAAAGACCAGAUAAAAGAAAGAACAAGAGCCGAAAAAGUUACCUUCUACGGCUUUCCAAUUGGAGCGAGAGGAAAAUGGCAUGAGAGAAAAUAUAUCGUCCUUCAGAGUCUGGAGAUUAGAGAAAGUAGACAGUAACAGCUAAGAGCCCUACUUUACUUUCUCGACAUCCUCUAAAUGUUUGGCGGCAAAAACACAGCUACUGAACGUAACAAUGAUUGUAUGUAACUCAAAUGUAUAUAAUGUAACUAUAAAAUGUACUUCAAUGUUAUAUUAUGUACAGUACCUUUGUACAUAACCGAAAAAUGUUAACCCUUUUGUUGAAUUAAAAUCACAGCUAUAACCCCCUUGCUGGCAUCUAGCUAGGUCCUGCCCUUUACAGCCCUACCCUAGCCGGGACUGAAAUUGACUGGUGGGCACUUGAACUAGACAACCCUCCUUGACCUGGGGAUCUCAUAAUGAUUACAAUCGGCAUGGGAGCCCUCAAAGCCAUUGGUGGGUGUGUCAUCCCAGAUGCCGUCUUGCAAGCAUCAUUUUGGAUGAUUAAGUGGAGGGGCCACAGAACCCAGAAAAGAAACCAGUUAAUCUGGUGAUUAUAAAUAGCCAAAUGCCUCGUCAUCUAAUUAGUGACACGCAUGAAUGGAUGAAUAAGAUUCCCACUG